CACAGGACUGUCAGGAAGAGGCUAUUGGCCAGGAGUGGAUUGCCCAGCCCAGAUUUAUCUGGGGACCAAAGGAGCAGGUGAAAGCGGUGGUGGCAGUGCCGGCCCAAGGUGGCAUCACCUGACUUGGCAAAAUGAGCCAACAGGCUGCAGAAGCCACAAGCACACACCUAAUGAUGGCAGGGAUGGGAGAAGAAGGGGGACACAGCCAUCGCCAUGGGGACAGCCCAGGUGCGCCAUCAGGGGAACCAUCCCCUGAACUAUUUCAGGUGACUGAAAGGAAAAGGUCAGGCAAGGGCAGGAGCUCUGGCACGUGCAGCCUGCGGCUGCCCCAUCCUGCUUGUACCUUGCCCCCAGCCAGCUUCCCCACCUGCCCUCUCCCAGCCAUACAGAGGACGCCGCUGCCAUCCCUUUGCUUGGCGAGCACCAUAGGUGCUUUGUUCAGCCCAUCCACCUCUGCUCAAGAGCUUAAGGGCUCCUCUGGUUGCCGUUGCCAAGGCACUUCUCUGUCCUUGACCUUCUGCAGACUGGGUACUGCAGCACCAUGGGGAGCAUCCUCAGGCAGAGGGGACACUUAGGGAUGGCUCAAGCAGAGGGUGCUGGAAAGCGGCACCUGUGCCCUGGCCCAGAAAUCAAACACAGGGAAGGCAGAUGUGAACAUAGUCUGUUUAUUUUAAGUGGGGGACAUAAAAAGAGGGGGUGGAGGAUGUAGUAGGAGGGGUGGAAAUUAUAUAUUGAGAGUAAAAAAAUGCUAAAAUGAUAGUAAAAUGAUGGUAAAAAUACUAGUUUACUAUUGUUACAACAACAACGGAAAAACA